rnacentral:rRNA from 1 species
CAGCCGCCGCGGUAAUACCGGCGGCCCGAGUGGCGGUCACUAUUAUUGGGCUUAAAGCGUCCGUAGCCGGGGUGGGAAGUCCUCCGGGAAAUCUGGCCGCUUAACGGUCAGAAUGCCGGAGGAUACUCCCAGCCUAGGGAGCGGGAGAGGCCGAGGGUAUUCCCGGAGUAGGGGUGAAAUCCUAUAAUCCCGGGAGGACCACCUGUGGCGAAGGCGCUCGGCUGGAACGCGGCCGACGGUGAGGGACGAAGGCCAGGGGAGCAAACCGGAUUAGAUACCCGGGUAGUCCUGGCUGUAAACGAUGCGGACUUUGUGUCGGACAAGCUAUGAGCUUGUCCGGUGCCGGAGGGAAACCGUUAAGUCCGCCGCCUGGGGAGUACGGCCGCAAGGCUGAAACUUAAAGGAAUUGGCGGG